ACAAGCGGAGGAACAUGUGGUUUAAUUCGAUGAUACGCGAGGAACCUUACCUGGGCUUAAAUGGGAGUGACAGCUGUCGAAAGAUGGUUUUCUUCGGACACUCUUCAAGGUGCUGCAUGGUUGUCGUCAGCUCGUGCCGUGAGGUGUCGGGUUAAGUCCCAUAACGAGCGCAACCCUUACCGUUAGUUACCAUCAGGUUAAGCUGGGGACUCUAGCGGGACUGCCACCGUAAGGUGAGAGGAAGUGGGGAUGACGUCAAAUCAGCACGGCCCUUAUGUCCAGGGCUACACACGUGUUACAAUGGCCAGUACAAAGGGCAGCUACCGGGUGACCGGAUGCUAAUCUCUAAAGCUGGUCUCAGUUCGGAUCGAAGUCUGCAACCCGACUUCGUGAAGCUGGAUUCGCUAGUAAUCGCGCAUCAGCCAUGGCGCGGUGAAUACGUUCCCGGGCCUU
rnacentral:rRNA from 1 species